rnacentral:rRNA from 1 species
AACAAACGCUGGCGGCGUGCCUAAUACAUGCAAGUCGAACGGGGAAAGCUUUCGGGUGAGUACUAGUGGCGCACGGGUGAGUAACGCGUGGAUAAUCUGCCUUAGAGUGGGGGAUAACCAGUCGAAAGAUUAGCUAAUACCGCAUAAGACCACAAGAACUGCGGUUCAAGGGGUCAAAAGUUUUUCGCUCUAAGAUGAGUCCGCGUAAGAUUAGCUAGUUGGUAGGGUAACGGCCUACCAAGGCGACGACCUUUAACUGGUCUGAGAGGAUGAUCAGUCACACUGGAACUGAGACACGGUCCAGACUCCUACGGGAGGCAGCAGUAGGGAAUAUUGCACAAUGGAGGAAACUCUGAUGCAGCGACGCCGCGUGAGUGAUGAAGGCCUUCGGGUCGUAAAGCUCUGUCGCAGGGGAAUAACACAAUGAAGGUACCCUGUAAGAAAGGAUCGGCUAACUUCGUGCCAGCCGCCGCGGUAACAC